rnacentral:rRNA from 1 species
UACGUAGGGGGCUAGCGUUGUCCGGAAUCAUUGGGCGUAAAGAGCGCGUAGGCGGCCAGAUAAGUCCGGUGUAAAAGUCACAGGCUCAACCUGUGAAUGCCGCUGGAAACUGUCUGGCUUGAGUCCGGGAGGGGCGAGUGGAAUUCCUGGUGUAGCGGUGAAAUGCGCAGAUAUCAGGAGGAACACCAAUGGCGAAGGCAGCUCGCUGGGACGGUACUGACACUGAGACGCGAAAGCGUGGGGAGCAAACAGG